rfam:Canis lupus familiaris chromosome 26, whole genome shotgun sequence.
UGGAGGAACAACCGCAGUGGCGGGGCCAGCUCUGGAGCCCUGGAUUCAGCUCCUGCAGGAACUACAGAGCUCUCUGUCUGCAGGGCCUUGAUGCUCCGGGGCGGG